GUGACCUCGGAUCAGGUAGGAAGGCC
rnacentral:rRNA from 1 species